AGAGAGAGAGAGAGAGAGGGAGGGAGUGCCGACAGGUAGAACAGGUUUGGGCGAGGCGGUCAAGAGACUCAGGAGAGAGAGAGAGACGAGUCAGAUUUAUUGUUUCGGUCAAAUAAAACAUAUUUUUUCUCCAGAUACAAAGGGCCUGAAUCCAUUCCAGACAGAAGAAGAAGAAGCUGCCAGAGGAGGUGGACUGUUUUUAAAGACACAGAAGAAGACGAAGGUGGACACACCUGAGGACAGAUUGGCUGUUCUGCCCCCCCUCCCCCACCAUCCCCUUCUCUGACGUCAUCAAUAUGUCAUCAAAAAUCAACAUUUCUUUGGAGAACCCAUACGGUCAGGUGACCAUCCCUCGGGCUAAGCUCCGCCCCUCAGAUGAUGCAACAGUGAUAGCCAAUCCGGUGGCUCUGAACAGCGAAAACCCAUACGCCCAGAAGGGCUCGGCCCCGCCCCCCUACACGGUGAGGGAGGAAGAGGAGGAGGAAGAGGCGGGGCGGUGCCCAGCGUGUUGCUACCGCUGCCGCAGGAGGAAGUGAUGUCACCCUUGAAGGAGGACUGUGAUUGGCUCAUUAGCAGAUAUUCUAUUUCAGGGCUGACCACAUGUUGAUACAUCUACAAAACCAGAACCAGCUGAACCAGAACCAGCUGAACCAGAACCAGCUGAACCAGAACCGUGCCGCAGAUCCGAAGCUUAGAGACUGGGUUCACACUGACUUUGGACCGUCAAUCCGGGUUCUGGAGGACAGGACAGAACCCGGACAGAACCAGGACAUCAAAGUUUGUUAAAACUCUGAGAAACAAGAGAUUUAAAUAUCUGGUUUUUAUAUUUUUUAGAUUUAUUUAGAUUUUUAAUUCCUUCAAAAAGACAAGAUGGCUGCCUUUCUGCCAUUGUCAUGACAACUCCACCUGAAGACACAAGACUUUUUACAGCUUUAAAUAAUUUUCACAUAUAAAAUAUAAAUCAGAUCCUGUUUAAUGAUUUUACAUUUAAUCAAAGUUUGGAAAACAUUUAGAAUUUUAUUUUAAACAAAAAGAUUUUGAUCAGAUUUUUGUUCCAUCAGGAGGAAAACGAACCGAAUCAUCUUCACGUCCAGAACUAAGCCGAAACAAAGGAUUUUAUAAAUGGUAGAUAAUUAUUUUGUUGCUGAAAUGCUUAUGUUUUAUUUGUGGAUUUAAGAAAAAUGUUUCCCCAUAAAGUAUUCCUGUUUUCUGCACCAUAAUUUUCAAUAUGAAGGACUUUUCUAAGUCUAUCUGAAGCAGAAUGAAGUCGCAGCGAGUUGUAGAUGAAGAACAAAAUAAAAACAUUAUUUGCUUUUC